rnacentral:lncRNA from 14 species
CCUUAGAGAUCUUCCAAAGCAAUGGCAUAGGUUCAUAACCAGUCGAGUCCAAGACCACCUGAAACAGCUAGACAAGACAAAAGCAACUCAUGCAACUGGAGAUUUCUGUCAAAGGGUCUGCUUUUCCUAUGAGGUGCCAAAAAACAUCAACAAGCACUCCUUCUGAAGAUUCUUAUGACCGGCAUCAUGUUCCAGCAGUUAAACCUUUGCCUAUUUCUUCUUCCACCCAGAAGAAAAAAUUUCCAGAUCUGUGCUUGCAGACCCCCACUGCUGCUGAUGGAGAAGCACCAGCUGCAGACCCAACCGGUGGUACCAGGCACAUGCUUGUAUCGCGUGCGGCCAGCCUAUGACAGCAACGUUGGAUGUCCUGCAGGUGGCUGGGAGGGAGGACAGCAAAACAAAGCACCCAUUCAUUCCUUGCCCUUUGGAGGUAUUCUCACAGUCUCAUCCAAGUGCAUGAAUCAGAAGGGCAAACACACACUGUAUAUUCUGUCUGGAAAUGCAGUCUUUGUGUCUCCAAAACUCUUCUCUGGCAUGCUGGAGAGUUACACCAGUGUGUAACACCUGCUUGAUAAUUUGAGGGGAACUUCUAAUUUCCCAGGUGACUUUUAAAGGAGGUAGGUGCCAGGAUGGAUAGGAAAACAGGGCAGAAUAGACUGGAGAGUAAAUGUUAUGUCUAGGAGAAAGCUGCUUUCCUUUUGGUCUCCUUCCUCUCAUGUCACCCUUAUGUCCUGACAUAAGAAAAAAAAUUGAAUGGCUCUGGUUUCAAAAUGGAUGGGAACAAGUCUGAAAUACCACCGUUAUCAACACUUUGAAAAAUCUGUUUAAAAUUUGGUCAGGCUUCUGUGUCCUUAUUUGUCUAACUAGUUUCCUCAGUAAAUAUGAGUCAUUUAGAAAUGUAUGUAAUGGGAGGAAAUAAUUAACAGAAUCUGGGAAGAUUUAUUGCCCAUAGGAAUUAUUGUUUCUGUAGAGAAAGGUGGAUCCAGUUAAUGAGAUGCUCUCAAGUACGAUCACAUUACAAAAGUUUCUUCUGCCUGUCCUUAAAUGGUAUCUUACUGAGCUAAAAUAUGCAUAUUUUUUCUUCUUCCCAUUGCAGAAGAGACACACAAAGAUUGCGAAAAGAAUAUAUGUAGCUAAGGAAAUUUGCUUCCUAAUACCAGAUGCUUUCAUAAAAUUAUAGUGUCCAUACAUUAAUAAUGUCCUUAUCUGGAUAAAUGGGAUUUUAUAAAGUAGAUGAUGUCUAGCAUUUAACAAAAAGUACUACCUGUGUUUAGAAAGAGUGGGAAGGCAUAGUUUGAC